rnacentral:ribozyme from 14 species
AUAAUCAUAAUGAGAAUGAGAAUCAGGAAUAAAUGCCAAUAAAAGUGAGAUGAUACAACACAAAAAUCUCUUCUUUUUCUUUUUCUUCUCUAUUUGUUGUUGUUGUUCUUUUUCUUCUUCUCUCGUAUCAUUAAUUGUGCCAUCAGUAGCAGUAGAAUCAGCAUUAGCAACAACAGUAUCAGCAACAGCAGUAGUAGCAACAACAGUGGGUUCUAAAUAUGUAUAUUCCCAGACCGAUAAAGCAUGUGCACCCAUAAAGAAGAGAUACGAGGUGAUUCGAUACGAUAAUAAUGUAUACACAAAUGGGAUACCCACACA